UUGUGUGCCCUCUCUUGUUCUCCUUGGAACCCUCAUGUGGAAAGCCCGGGCUGGGCUGCAGUAGCAUGGACGGACCCACAUGGAGCACAGGUGAGCUGUUCCUGCCCAGACCUCUCCAGACCGAGCAGCCUCCCAACCACCAGACAGGUGAGGGAGGGCCUCUUUGACCAUCCAGCCUGGGCUGCGCUAUCCGCACCAGAAGAAACACCCAGAAGACCCACAGAAUCAUAACGUUCUGAAAACUGCUUACUUGUGCCUGAAGAACCAGGUAUUAUGGAGCGAAGAGGGGGAGAAGUACCAGGUGCAAGACCAUCUGAGAGUCAGAAAUCAUUGAAAUCUCACAUUUGCAUUUUGUGCUUGGCUCUAGGAAAAGCCCUCAGGGAAGGGGCCCAGCAGCCAAGAAGUUUCCCAACAUCGCUGCCACCUUCACCAUACCUGUUCCUGGCCCAAGUGGAGGCCCCAGUGGGA
rnacentral:lncRNA from 1 species